GACGAACGCUGGCGGCGUGCUUAACACAUGCAAGUCGAACGCUGAAGCUCAGCUUUUGUUGGGUGGAUGAGUGGCGAACGGGUGAGUAACACGCGAGUAACCUGCCCCUUUCUUUGGGAUAACGCCCGGAAACGGGGGCUAAUACUGGAUAUUCACUGUUCUUCGCCUGGGGGUUGUUGUAAAGGGCUUUUUUGGUGGGGGAUGGGCCCGCGGCCUAUCGGCUUGAUGGUGGGGUUAUGGCCUACCAAUGCCUUGACGGGUAGCCGGCGUGAGAGGGUGACCGGUCACAUUGGGACGGUCCUGCGGCCCAGAGUACGCCGCGGGGGGGAAGUGGGGACUAUUGCCCAAUGGGCGCAGGACUGAUGCAGCGACGGUGAGUGAGGUAUUGAGGCCGUAGGGUUGUGAACCUCUUGCGGUAAAGGUGUAGCCGCAACAAUGGUUGUCGUGAGGGUAGUGGGUAAAGAAGCGCCGGCUAACUACGUG
rnacentral:rRNA from 1 species